rnacentral:tRNA from 1 species
UGUAGCUCAGUAGUAGAGCGCUUGCCUUGAAUGCAUGAGGCCCUGGGUUCGGUCCCCAGCA